rnacentral:rRNA from 1 species
GAUGAACGCUGGCGGCGUGCCUAAUACAUGCAAGUCGAGCGCGAGAGUGAGGAGCUUGUUCCUCAUGAUCGAGCGGCGGACGGGUGAGUAACACGUAGGCAACCUACCCUUGAGAUUGGGAUAACUACCGGAAACGGUAGCUAAUACCGGAUACGACUUUUCCACAUAAGUGGAAUGGUUAAAAGGCGGAUUUAUCUGCCGCUCAUGGAUGGGCCUGCGGUGCAUUAGCUAGUUGGUGAGGUAGUGGCUCACCAAGGCGACGAUGCAUAGCUGACCUGAGAGGGUGAUCGGCCACACUGGGACUGAGACACGGCCCAGACUCCUACGGGAGGCAGCAGUAGGGAAUCUUCCGCAAUGGACGAAAGUCUGACGGAGCAACGCCGCGUGAGUGAUGAAGGGUUUCGGCUCGUAAAACUCUGUUGUUAAGGAAGAACACUUGAGGUAGUAACUGGCCUUGAGAUGACGGUACUUAACCAGAAAGCCACGGCUAACUACGUGCCAGCCGCCGCAGUAA